GUGGGAGUGAGGCAGCAGGCGAGGAAAAAAGGCGACUGGAAUGAUUCUAGGUGAACACCCAGGGAGGGGGCCCAUGCGAGGCAGAGACUGGAACCAGCUCACAGGUUAUUUUAAUGUACAAGAUUCUUUUAGAGGAAGAUAAAAGCUCAGAGGAAGAUCAGGAAGAGAGAAAUGUCCAUGGUCAUUGUAGGCAGAUGAGGAGUAUGCUGGAGAAAGUAGAAAUAUUGGAGACACCUGGAAACCACAGAGUCAAGGAAAAGGCAAAGCCCAGAUUAAAGUGCUCUGCUGACCAGAAAGAAGGACAAUGUGAAAGGAAGAAAGAAAGAAAGAAAGAAAAAAAAAUUACUUACUAGACCAAGAAUCAAGAGAUCAGGUUCUAAUUCUAGCCCUGUUACCUGUCAGUGGGAUAAUCCAGUGUAAACCAUUUAGAGUCUACAACAGUUUCUUCCUUUUUAAAAUUCAGUAAUAGACUGUGUUUUCCCCGUGUAUCUUACAGGAUUGUUGUAAAGAUCAAACAAAUUAAUAAAUGAGCAAAUGUUUUGACAA